UCAGUUCGUCUUUGUCUUAUCGUAACAGCAUUGCUAUGAAUGUACAGUCUGAUUCAAUAUUGAGGAAGGAGUGAGCAUAGAUCAUGCUUAAGUUUCAUAUUUGUUUCUUAUUAAAACAAAACUAAUAGGAUAAAUUUUUUGAAGUUAUGGCGCAUUGCAUUUGAAAUUCAAUUUUAACAUAAAUUUGAGCAAUAUCAAGGGUGACCUCAUGACACAGUCGAGUUGAAGGUGAGGGAGUAAAAUAAAUGCUACAUUAGCCCGUGUCCAAAGCCUUCAGAGUGAUUAUUUUUGUUUGCAUCUCUCUCCCAAUAGUACUUGUCACUAUCUAAUGCUAUUUUGUGCUUUUAUUACAGAAUUUCAUGAAUGGAAAGCAGAAGAAGAGGGUAGCCAAAACUGCUGGUUCACUUUGCCCAGGGACCCCAAAAAGCUGGCCAGUGGAGAAACAAGGAUCCACUAUUACUGUAAUAGAUCAGGCGAGGCAAGGAAAAAGGAAGGUCAUAGUGACCGUCGGGAGAAAAGUCAGGGGAGCUGUAGGUCUGAUCUUGUGCUAUGAGAUGAGGAGGUGUAAAAUAAAAACACCGUGUAGAUUUCACAAUGCCUUUAGGAAACCACGCGAAGCUUGGAGAUGAAGCAUUACAUGCACCUUGAACCAAGUGUCUGGACACAGCGAGUGAAAGUUGUUUUGUCAUGAGCGAGGGUGUCGGUGUUACUUGUAACUACCUUUAAAUAAAGGUUUGUUUCAAAACAGUGGCUCAACUCUGUGUUUCCCCCGGUAAAAAACACAACCAUUGGGAUUUUCAUGAGCGAGGGUGUCGGUGUUACUUGUAACUACCUUUAAAUAAAAGUUUGUUUCAAAACAGUG
rnacentral:lncRNA from 1 species